rnacentral:rRNA from 1 species
AGGAUGAACGCUGGCGGAGUGCCUAAUACAUGCAAGUCGAGCGGCAACGCGAGUAGUUUACUACUUGGCGGCGAGCGGCGGACGGCUGAGUAACGCGUGGGAACGUGCCCCAAAGUGAGGAAUAACUGCCCGAAAGGGUAGCUAAUGCCGCAUAUGAUCUUCGGAUUAAAGGAUUUAUCCGCUUUGGGAGCGGCCCGCGUCAGAUUAGGUAGUUGGUGAGGUAAAGGCUCACCAAGCCGACGAUCUAGUAGCUGAUCUGAGAGGAUGAUCGAGCCAGCUGGGACUGAGACACGGCCAGACCUCCGUACGGGAGCAG